UACGGAGGGUGCGAGCGUUGUCCGGAAUCACUGGGCGUAAAGGGCGCGUAGGCGGUCUGCUAAGCGUGCGGUGAAAGCCUGGGGCUCAACCCCAGGUCUGCCGUGCGAACUGGUGGACUAGAGCACUGUAGAGGCAGGUGGAAUUUCGGGUGUAGCGGUGGAAUGCGUAGAGAUCCGAAAGAACACCGGUGGCGAAGGCGGCCUGCUGGGCAGUUGCUGACGCUGAGGCGCGAAAGCGUGGGGAGCGAACAGG
rnacentral:rRNA from 1 species